GAAAUGCGAUAAGUAAUGUGAAUUGCAGAAUUCCGUGAAUCAUCGAAUCUUUGAACGCACAUUGCGCCCUCUGGCAUUCCGGGGGGCAUGCCUGUCCGAGCGUCAUUACGCACCCUCAAGCCCGGCUUGUGUGAUGGGCCCUGGCGUCUCGUUCGCGAGACGGGCCCGAAAGGCAGCGGCGGCGUCGACUCGAUGAGCCCGAGCGUAUGGGGACUUUUGUCACACGUUUGCGGUGCGGACCGGCGCCUGCUUGACUUUUCUGAUUAUCCAGGUUGACCUCGGAUCAGGUAGGGAUACCCGCUGAACUUAAGC
rnacentral:misc_RNA from 1 species